rnacentral:lncRNA from 1 species
AUGUUGCCGUCGAAGAUAGCAGUAGUAAAGUGCCAGGCACACACAAAAAGAAAGGACUCUGCGAGAAAAGGAAAUGAGAAGGCGGAUUGGUGGGCAAAGCAUGUGGCCUUGAGCCCUGAGGCGCCUAUGGUGUCAUUGUUUCUAGUCUCUACCCCUAACCCAGGUGUUUCUUUGCUACAAACAGGUGCCACAGAAAGGGGAAAGGCGAGAUGGUUUCAUGUGGGGGCCCAGAAGACAAAAGAUGGUGUGAUUGUCUCUACUAACGGUAAACCUUUUCUCCCCAGGAGGACGUUCCCUGGAGUGGCAAAGAUUGCACACGGCCUGGAUCACGCUUCUCGCAACACCAUGGUCUCCAACGAACACUGAAGGAGGUGCAUCAGCAGGUGCGACAGAACCAGUGAACCCCUAACCGGGAAGACACGCUAGAGCUGCUCCCAGGCGAUUGGGUUCUCAUCCGUGACCUGUGAAAGAAACAUUGGAAGCAGCCCCGGUGGAGAGGCCCUCAUCAAGUUCUUCUGUCCACACCCCACGCUGUGAAAAUAGAAGGCAUUGACUUGUGGACUCACAUCACCUACUGCUGUAAAAUAGCUGAUCCCACGCAGGCACAACAGCAACAUGAGUGAUUCAAGGACACCCUAGCACCCUUUCUGAAGGGCAGGACUGUGUGGAAUGAGAGGAACUUUCAAAAAACAAACACAAUUAGCAUUAGUGAUUGUGUUGCUUAUUGUAUUACUGUUUGAGAAGUCUACUGAGAAAGAGAGAGGUAACCUAAUUGAAACCUCUGUUACAGGCCGUAAGAGAUCUGUGGAAAAUCUGCAUGAGAAAGGCCUACAUGGUAUUAACAUAUUUUUAGAACUGAGCUGUAAAUGAGUCUUGGUGUUGGGUGUGUUCCCACAUUCCACACACUGUUUCAACCAGACUCCCACUAAACCCUGUUCCUUGGGCCCUACCUGAGGUAUUCUUGUGGUGGGAUACUUACUUCACUAAGCUUCUGUCCGGAACCUCUACUAGGCCAUCAUGGGAAACAGCGGGAUACAACUUCUCGGGUCAUAAAUUCGAUGAACUGUCAUUCCUCUGAAAUUUCACCAAAUGAAAUAACACCCACGAAAAGGUCCCAACCACCAUGGCAUCCUGAUAGCUCUGCUCAGAGAGUCAAAAGGACCAUCACGUGUGACAUAGCUGGUAUUG